rnacentral:sRNA from 1 species
CUAAUACAACAAAAGCCCUACCUCUCAAUUGUCCUUGCGGCUCCGAUGACCGCGCCAGCUUGAAUCAGAAAUACUCGAAU